rnacentral:rRNA from 1 species
AGUGAACGCUGGCGGUAGGCCUAACACAUGCAAGUCGAACGGCAGCACAGUAAGAGCUUGCUCUUACGGGUGGCGAGUGGCGGACGGGUGAGGAAUACAUCGGAAUCUACUUUUUCGUGGGGGAUAACGUAGGGAAACUUACGCUAAUACCGCAUACGACCUACGGGUGAAAGCAGGGGAUCUUCGGACCUUGCGCGAUUGAAUGAGCCGAUGUCGGAUUAGCUAGUUGGCGGGGUAAAGGGCCACCAAGGCGACGAUCCGUAGCUGGUCUGAGAGGAUGAUCAGCCACACUGGAACUGAGACACGGCCCAGAAUCCUACGGGAGGCAGCAGUGGGGAAGAUUGGACAAUGGGCGGAAGCCUGAUCCAGCCAUACCGCGUGGGUGAAGAAGGCCUUCGGGUUGUAAAGCCCUUUUGUUGGGAAAGAAAAGCAGCAGGUUAAUACCCCGCUGUUCUGACGGUACCCAAAGAAUAAGCACCGGCUAACUUCGUG